rnacentral:rRNA from 1 species
UACAGAGGUCUCAAGCGUUGUUCGGAUUCAUUGGGCGUAAAGGGUGCGUAGGUGGCGCCAUAAGUCAGGUGUGAAAUCUCGGGGCUCAACUCCGAAACUGCACUUGAUACUGUGGUGCUCGAGUACUGGAGAGGAGAUUGGAAUUUACGGUGUAGCAGUGAAAUGCGUAGAUAUCGUAAGGAAGACCAGUGGCGAAGGCGAAUCUCUGGACAGUUACUGACACUGAGGCAGCGAAGGCCAGGGGAGCAAAACCGGG